rnacentral:rRNA from 1 species
UGUGUUAGAUACCAUUUUUGGCUAGUAGUUAAUUUUUUUUUCAUUAUUUUUAUAAUUUUUAGGUGGAAUUUAUAAUUUUAUAUAUUUUGUUUCUUUUGUUCUGUGAAAACUAGGAUUUAAACCAAGGAUUAGAUACCCUUUUAUUCUAGUCGUUAUUUUUGGCUUGGGUAGUAUUAGUUUCGUUCUUGAAACCCAAAGGAUUUGGCGGUAUUUUAGUCUUUUCAGAGGAACCUGCCCCUUAAUUGAUGUUCCACGAUUUUAUCUACUUUUUCUUGUUUUCAGUUUGUAUAUCUCCGUCAAAAGGAUAUUUUUUAAAAGUUUUAUUUCCUUUCCAUUAUUUGGGUGUUGAUGUCAGGUCAAGGUGCAGUUUAUGGAAAAGUGGAGGUGGGUUACAAUAAUUUAAUUUAUACGGAUACUUAUUUAUUGAUUAAAGUUGAAGGGGAUUUGAAAGUAAAUUUAAUUAAUAAUUUUUUUGAUUUGGCUCUAGGAUAUGCRCACAUCGCCCGUCGCUCUCAUGUGUAUAUAGUGAGAUAAGUCGUAACAUAGUAGACGUAUUGGAAAAUGUGUCUGGUAAGU